UUUAAAUCUAAUAUAUUAAAAUAUAUUUUAAUGGGGGUUAAAGUAUAAUUAAUAGAAAAAAUUUAAAUUUUUAUAGUGAAUUAAGUAUUGUAAAAGAAUUUUGAAAUAAAAAUAUAAAUUAUUAAAAAGUAGUUUUUAUUUAAUGUAUCUUGUGUAUCAGAGUUUAUUAAAAAAAAUUUUUUGAUAAAUAAAUUCUCGAAUUUAAGAGAGAUAAUUAAUUAUAAAAGUUAUUGUUACAUAAAUAUUUUAAAUAAUUAAUUGGAAAUGAAAUGUUAAAUCGUUCUUAAAUAUAUCUAGUUUUUUUAGAAAAAAAUUUAAUUUUAAAUUUAUUUUUAAUUAUUAAUUAAUUAUUUAAUUAAUAAUUUAUUUAAUAAAUUUUAUAUUUUAGGGGAUAAUCUUUAAUUUAAAUAAAUAUAAUUUACAAUCAAAUUUUUAUGAAAAUUAUAUAAUUUAUAUUGUUAAAAAAUUUUAAUUUAUUAUAAAUAAUUUCAUUUAAAGUAAAAUUUAAUUAAAAAUUUAUUUUUUUAUAAAAAAAUAAAUUUUAAUUUUAAAAAUUUAGUUAUAAUGAUAAAAUUAGUAUAUAAAAAUUUUAUUAAUUAAAGUAAUUUUAUUAAGUUAAUUAAUUAAAAGGAAUUCGGCAAAAAUUUAUAUUCACUUGUUUAACAAAAACAUGUCUUUUUGAAAAUAAUAUAAAGUCUAAUCUGCCCACUGAUUUUUAAAUUAAAGGGCUGCAGUAUAUUGACUGUACAAAGGUAGCAUAAUCAUUAGUCAUUUAAUUGAUGACUUGUAUGAAAGAUUGGAUGAAAUAUAAACUGUCUCUUAAUUAAAUUAUAUAAUUUAAUUUUUUAAUUAAAAAGUUAAAAUAAAUUAAAAAGACGAGAAGACCCUAUAGAGUUUUAUAAUUUUAUAAUUAAAAUUAUUUUUAAAAUUUAGAAUUUUAAUUAAAAAAAUUAUUUUGUUGGGGUGACAGAAAAAUUAAAAUAACUUUUUUUAAAAAUUAACAUUUAUAAGUGAUUAAAUGAUCCAGUUUUACUGAUUAUAAGAAAAAAUUACCUUAGGGAUAACAGCGUAAUUUUUUUUUUUAGUUCAAAUAAAAAAAAAAGUUUGCGACCUCGAUGUUGGAUUAAGAUAAAAUUUAAAUGCAGAAGUUUAAAAUUUUGAUCUGUUCGAUCAUUAAAAUCUUACAUGAUCUGAGUUCAAACCGGUGUAAGCCAGGUUGGUUUCUAUCUUUUAAUAAAAAAAAAUAUUUUAGUACGAAAGGAUCAAAUAUUUAAAUUAAAUUUUUAUUAAUGAAUUUUAUUAAU
rnacentral:rRNA from 1 species